CAUGAUUUUUUAAAUUUGUUUGAAAAAGAAAGUUUUAAUUUCAGCCAGUUCAUGGAACAUCUUGGGCUAACCAUGUAGCGGUAGCCGCACAAAACUGCCGCACUAAAAAAACUUGAGUUUGCGUAAAACGCAUUUACUGGUUUUCAAGUUGUUGUAGUUGUUUGGAAAUAAGUGGAGCUAUGGUUGUGUGUAACGGUGGAAAAUUGUACUGGCCACAAAGUUUUCGUAACCAUACAUCCGUAUGUCAGGCUAACUGGUUAUUACCGAAUGUGCAGAUGAGGGAUUUUAAAUCUGGAGCUGUUUCACAUGCAGUAAUAUCACCUCACAGGUUGAGAAGUAGCAAUGGUGUUAACCACGUCUCAUGGUACGGCACAGGUUUUCUUCCGGAUGUGGAGCUGAUGCAGCUUGCAGUGAUCAGGAGUUACCAGAAGGCAAACAUGUGAUGCCUGGCCUACAGGAAGCUCUCUCUGAUAAGUUAUUAGUGAGAAAUUGACACUCUUGGAAUUCUGUUUGUGGUCAUUAACAGCUUCAAGUGCAUAGAAAAUUUGUAAAUUUUGAAAAAUUUGCAGAAUUUUUAUAUGACCUACUUAGGAAAUGCUGAUACUGAUUCAGCUGAAUCAGUAAAUAGAGGUAACACUGACAUAAGUCUCUACUUUCGUGUUGUAUUGCAGCACAGAAUCAUCUUCGUUUAUAAAAGAUACAGAAGAAAUAUUGAGAUUUCUAGUAUAAAUUAGUUUUCAUUGUCACAAAUGGCAUUUAACAAAAUGUUUGUGUUGAGUUGGUUGCUGACACUAUUGUGCGUGUGCUGUUGUAAAAACAUCUUUAUUGGGGUAUUUUAGAGUAUAAGUGUUUUCAAAUGGACAAGCCUGAACAAUUUUUGGUAUGAAUGCUGAAAACUUCUCGAAUGUUAUUCAUCAAAUGAUAUGGCACGUUGUUUUGGUUGGGAAAAAAAAAGAGAUUACAAAUGCAGUGCCCUUCUAUGAGGUUACCAAGGAGGAAAGAAAAUAAAUUGCAAUGACAUUGUCUAAGGAUGAAGUUGAACAACAUAAGCCUUUAUUUCAUGCAGCUAUUCACAAUAUCCACGCAUCCUGCACAAUGUUAGUCAAACUUGGUUAGACCAGUAGCUGAGUAGUAAACUUCACCCUUCUCUAGUAAAUGUCCUCUGGACAAUGAUGGAUCUAAUGAACACGGACAUCCUUCCCUCUCAACCUCAAUUGAAGUGUGCCUAGGUGCCUCACCAGUUUUAGCAUACCUUUGCAAACCAAUUCCUGUAGCGAUCUGUCGCCCCUCAGUCAGUACGUACGUAGAAGUGGUAGAUAUUGAG